rnacentral:lncRNA from 10 species
GGGCAUGUGGAUCAUGUGGCCAGACAGCAGGAAAAGCACUGAGUCACUCGUCUUUGAUGAAGCCCUGCCUUUGCCGCUGAGGACAAAUGUUCUUUCCAAUCCCACGGGAGGAAGAGACGUUCUAAAGAGAGAAUUGAAUUCAUGGUUGGCCAGGAGACAGUGAAAGAGGACCCAGGAGAAAUUGCUGGAAACGCUCUAUGAAAUCAUCUCUAAGCAAACAGUGCUCUCUCUGCUGCACCUGCUCUCCAUGCCUCUCCUGCAAAAUCAACAACAGGUGUUUGCUGCUCAUGCGAUUCCAACCACCAAAAAUAGGCAUGACAAGAAUGACGGGAUAGGCAGCGUCCCGAUUCCAGUCAUUCCUGAAGCCCCUUCGCAUGUCCACACACCUGUGCACUGCCGGGUCUGUUGCUUGGCUAGCAUUUUUCUUAAAAUCACUUCACUUUAAAACAGUUUUUAUUAAAGUAUGGUAUGCAUACAGAAAAGUAUGGCUGAAGUGUAUGGCUUAAAGGAUUUUCAUGAAACGAUCACACCUGUGUGACCAGGA